rnacentral:rRNA from 1 species
AGGACGAACGCUGGCGGCGUGCUUAACACAUGCAAGUCGUACGAUGAUGCCGCAACUUGUUGUGGUGGAUUAGUGGCGAACGGGUGAGUAACACGUGAGUAACCUGCCUUUCACUCUGGGAUAAGCCUUGGAAACGAGGUCUAAUACUGGAUAUGACUUCUUGCCGCAUGGUGGGGGUGGAAAGCCUUCGGGUGGUGGAUGAUGGACUCGCGGACUAUCAGCUUGUUGGUGGGGUUGUGGCCUACCAAGGCUUUGACGGUUAGCCGGCCUGAGAGGGUGAUCGGCCACAUUGGGACUGAGAUACGGCCCAGACUCCUACGGGAGGCAGCAGUGGGGAAUAUUGCACAAUGGGCGAAAGCCUGAUGCAGCGACGCCGCGUGGGGGAUGAAGGCCUUCGGGUUGUAAACUCCUUUCGCUCGUGACGAGGCCUUCGGGUGACGGUAGCGGGAGAAGAAGCACCGGCUACUACGCGCCAGCAGCCGCGGU